rnacentral:miRNA from 1 species
UUCCAAAUGUCAAUCAUGUCAAUUUAUCUUAAGCUCGCCCCAUUCCUCUGUCAUUUGUCGCGCGCCGCAAGCACUCAAUGAAAAGCAUUGUUCAUAUGAGUGCUUGCGGCGCGCGACAAAUGACAGAGGAAUGGGGCAAGCUUAAUAUAAAUUGACAUUUGGAAGCAUUCU